GAUGAACGCUGGCGGCGUGCCUAAUACAUGCAAGUCGAGCGAACGGACGAGAAGCUUGCUUUUCUGAUGUUAGCGGCGGACGGGUGAGUAACACGUGGAUAACCUACCUAUAAGACUGGGAUAACUUCGGGAAACCGGAGCUAAUACCGGAUAAUAUUUUGAACCGCAUGGUUCAAAAGUGAAAGACGGUCUUGCUGUCACUUAUAGAUGGAUCCGCGCUGCAUUAGCUAGUUGGUAAGGUAACGGCUUACCAAGGCAACGAUGCAUAGCCGACCUGAGAGGGUGAUCGGCCACACUGGAACUGAGACACGGCCCAGACUCCUACGGGAGGCAGCAGUAGGGAAUCUUCCGCAAUGGGCGAAAGCCUGACGGAGCAACGCCGCGUGAGUGAUGAAGGUCUUCGGAUCGUAAAACUCUGUUAUUAGGGAAGAACAUAUGUGUAAGUAACUGUGCACAUCUUGACGGUACCUAACCAGAAAGCCACGGCUAACUACGUG
rnacentral:rRNA from 1 species